UGGCAAAUAGGCAAACUAAAUACGUAUGAAACAAAUAUACAAGAAAUACAACAAUGACGAUAGGUACUCCAGCAAAUUGUAUGGAGGAUAGGCCAAGUACUUUUUUUUUGAUAUUACUUUUUCUUCC
rnacentral:ribozyme from 1 species